rnacentral:hammerhead_ribozyme from 1 species
AUACAGCUGAUGAGUCCCAUACAGGAUGAGAUGUGCGUCAUGUAU